AUUGAACGCUGGCGGCAUGCCUAACACAUGCAAGUCGAACGAGUGGCGGACGGGUGAGUAAUGUCUCGGAACCUGCCCGAUGGCGGGGGAUAACUACUGGAAACGGUAGCUAAUACCGCAUACCAUCGGAUGUGCCCAGAUGGGAUUAGCUAGUUGGUGGGGUAAAGGCUCACCAAGGCCACGAUCCCUAGCUGGUCUGAGAGGAUGACCAGCCACACUGGGACUGAGACACGGUCCAGACUCCUACGGGAGGCAGCAGUGGGGAAUAUUGCACAAUGGGCGCAAGCCUGAUCCAGCCAUGCCGCGUGUAUGAUGAAGGCCUUCGGGUUGUAAAGUACUUUCAGCAGGGAAGCGGUACCCGCAGAAGAAGCACCGGCUAACUACGUGCCAGCAGCCGCGGUAAUUG
rnacentral:rRNA from 1 species